CCUACGGGAGGCAGCAGUAGGGAAUCUUCCACAAUGGGCGAAAGCCUGAUGGAGCAACGCCGCGUGGGUGAAGAAGGUCUUCGGAUCGUAAAACCCUGUUGUUAGAGAAGAAAGUGCGUGAGAGUAACUGUUCACGUUUCGACGGUAUCUAACCAGAAAGCCACGGCUAACUACGUGCCAGCAGCCGCGGUAAUACGUAGGUGGCAAGCGUUAUCCGGAUUUAUUGGGCGUAAAGGGAACGCAGGCGGUCUUUUAAGUCUGAUUUGAAAGCUUUCGGCUUAACCGGAGUAGUGCAUUGGAAACUGGGAGACUUGAGUGCAGAAGAGGAGAGUGGAACUCCAUGUGUAGCGGUGAAAUGCGUAGAUAUAUGGAAGAACACCAGUGGCGAAAGCGGCUCUCUGGUCUGUAACUGACGCUGAGGUUCGAAAGCGUGGGUAGCAAACAGGAUUAGAUACCCGGGUAGUC
rnacentral:rRNA from 1 species